CUGUGAGCUCGAUGAGUAGGGCGGGACACGUGGUAUCCUGUCUGAAUAUGGGGGGACCAUCCUCCAAGGCUAAAUACUCCUGACUGACCGAUAGUGAACCAGUACCGUGAGGGAAAGGCGAAAAGAACCCCGGCGAGGGGAGUGAAAAAGAACCUGAAACCGUGUACGUACAAGCAGUGGGAGCACGCUUAGGCGUGUGACUGCGUACCUUUUGUAUAAUGGGUCAGCGACUUAUAUUCUGUAGCAAGGUUAACCGAAUAGGGGAGCCGAAGGGAAACCGAGUCUUAACUGGGCGUUAAGUUGCAGGGUAUAGACCCGAAACCCGGUGAUCUAGCCAUGGGCAGGUUGAAGGUUGGGUAACACUAACUGGAGGACCGAACCGACUAAUGUUGAAAAAUUAGCGGAUGACUUGUGGCUGGGGGUGAAAGGCCAAUCAAACCGGGAGAUAGCUGGUUCUCCCCGAAAGCUAUUUAGGUAGCGCCUCGUGAAUUCAUCUCCGGGGGUAGAGCACUGUUUCGGCAAGGGGGUCAUCCCGACUUACCAACCCGAUGCAAACUGCGAAUACCGGAGAAUGUUAUCACGGGAGACACACGGCGGGUGCUAACGUCCGUCGUGAAGAGGGAAACAACCCAGACCGCCAGCUAAGGUCCCAAAGUCAUGGUUAAGUGGGAAACGAUGUGGGAAGGCCCAGACAGCCAGGAUGUUGGCUUAGAAGCAGCCAUCAUUUAAAGAAAGCGUAAUAGCUCACUGGUCGAGUCGGCCUGCGCGGAAGAUGUAACGGGGCUAAACCAUGCACCGAAGCUGCGGCAGCGACGCUUAUGCGUUGUUGGGUAGGGGAGCGUUCUGUAAGCCUGUGAAGGUGUGCUGUGAGGCAUGCUGGAGGUAUCAGAAGUGCGAAUGCUGACAUAAGUAACGAUAAAGCGGGUGAAAAGCCCGCUCGCCGGAAGACCAAGGGUUCCUGUCCAACGUUAAUCGGGGCAGGGUGAGUCGACCCCUAAGGCGAGGCCGAAAGGCGUAGUCGAUGGGAAACAGGUUAAUAUUCCUGUACUUGGUGUUACUGCGAAGGGGGGACGGAGAAGGCUAUGUUGGCCGGGCGACGGUUGUCCCGGUUUAAGCGUGUAGGCUGGUUUUCCAGGCAAAUCCGGAAAAUCAAGGCUGAGGCGUGAUGACGAGGCACUACGGUGCUGAAGCAACAAAUGCCCUGCUUCCAGGAAAAGCCUCUAAGCAUCAGGUAACAUCAAAUCGUACCCCAAACCGACACAGGUGGUCAGGUAGAGAAUACCAAGGCGCUUGAGAGAACUCGGGUGAAGGAACUAGGCAAAAUGGUGCCGUAACUUCGGGAGAAGGCACGCUGAUAUGUAGGUGAAGCGACUUGCUCAUGGAGCUGAAAUCAGUCGAAGAUACCAGCUGGCUGCAACUGUUUAUUAAAAACACAGCACUGUGCAAACACGAAAGUGGACGUAUACGGUGUGACGCCUGCCCGGUGCCGGAAGGUUAAUUGAUGGGGUUAGCGCAAGCGAAGCUCUUGAUCGAAGCCCCGGUAAACGGCGGCCGUAACUAUAACGGUCCUAAGGUAGCGAAAUUCCUUGUCGGGUAAGUUCCGACCUGCACGAAUGGCGUAAUGAUGGCCAGGCUGUCUCCACCCGAGACUCAGUGAAAUUGAACUCGCUGUGAAGAUGCAGUGUACCCGCGGCAAGACGGAAAGACCCCGUGAACCUUUACUAUAGCUUGACACUGAACAUUGAGCCUUGAUGUGUAGGAUAGGUGGGAGGCUUUGAAGUGUGGACGCCAGUCUGCAUGGAGCCGACCUUGAAAUACCACCCUUUAAUGUUUGAUGUUCUAACGUUGACCCGUGAUCCGGGUUGCGGACAGUGUCUGGUGGGUAGUUUGACUGGGGCGGUCUCCUCCUAAAGAGUAACGGAGGAGCACGAAGGUUGGCUAAUCCUGGUCGGACAUCAGGAGGUUAGUGCAAUGGCAUAAGCCAGCUUGACUGCGAGCGUGACGGCGCGAGCAGGUGCGAAAGCAGGUCAUAGUGAUCCGGUGGUUCUGAAUGGAAGGGCCAUCGCUCAACGGAUAAAAGGUACUCCGGGGAUAACAGGCUGAUACCGCCCAAGAGUUCAUAUCGACGGCGGUGUUUGGCACCUCGAUGUCGGCUCAUCACAUCCUGGGGCUGAAGUAGGUCCCAAGGGUAUGGCUGUUCGCCAUUUAAAGUGGUACGCGAGCUGGGUUUAGAACGUCGUGAGACAGUUCGGUCCCUAUCUGCCGUGGGCGCUGGAGAACUGAGGGGGGCUGCUCCUAGUACGAGAGGACCGGAGUGGACGCAUCACUGGUGUUCGGGUUGUCAUGCCAAUGGCACUGCCCGGUAGCUAAAUGCGGAAGAGAUAAGUGCUGAAAGCAUCUAAGCACGAAACUUGCCCCGAGAUGAGUUCUCCCUGACUCUUUAAGGGUCCUGAAGGAACGUUGAAGACGACGACGUUGAUAGGCCGGGUGUGUAAGCGCAGCGAUGCGUUGAGCUAACCGGUACUAAUGAACCGUGAGGCUUAACCUU
rnacentral:rRNA from 2 species